GACGAACGCUGGCGGCGUGCUUAACAUAUGCAAGUCGAACGAUGAAGAAGAGCUUGCUCUUCGGAUUAGUGGCGAACGGGUGAGUAACACGUGACUAACCUGCCCCUUUCUCUGGGAUAACGCUCCGAAAGGAGUGCUAAUACCGGAUACUCACAUCGAGGCACAUGCCUUGAUGUGGAAAGUUUUUCGGAAAGGGAUGGAGUCGCGGCCUAUCAGCUUGUUGGGGAGGUAACGGCUCACCAAGGCGACGACGGGUAGCCGGCCUGAGAGGGCGACUGGCCACACUGGGACUGAGACACGGCCCAGACUCCUACGGGAGGCAGCAGUGGGGAAUAUUGCACAAUGGGCGAAAACCUGAUGCAGCGACGCCGCGUGAGGGAUGAAGGUCUUCGGAUUGUAAACCUCUUUCAGUAGGGACGAAGCGAAAGUGACGGUACCUAAAGAAGAAGCACCGGCUAACUACGUGCCAGCCGCCGCAGUAA
rnacentral:rRNA from 1 species